AAAGUCUUAAGUUAAAUAAACUAUUAACCUUCAAAGUUAAAAAUAUAAUUAUUUAUAGACUUAA
rnacentral:tRNA from 1 species